rnacentral:lncRNA from 1 species
UGAUUUAUUAGCUCCAAUUCUAAUUAUAUUGUACUAUAUUGUAUUAUAGUGUGUUAUUUUGCAUUCUGAUAUCUUACUUAGUAAAAUAGUUCAUUUCUCCUCAGAUCGUUGCUGCUGUUUUGGUUUUGGGCCCAUCUCUCUACUGUUCUCCUUGUUUCCCUUUUCUUGGGCGCAGAUCCAUGGGUCCCUCUGCCCUACUCAUCACAGAACUGGGCCAAACCAGCCCAUACACUGUUGAUAGUCACAUCACUCGCAUUGAUAAGAAGGGGAGCAAGGAGGACUUGGGGAACUGCAGUCCGGUGAGUCUCACCUCUGUGCCUGGGAAGAUCAUGGAGCAGAUCUUCCUAUAAGCUAUGUUAAGGCACAUACAAGAUAAAGAGGUGAUUCAAGACAACCAGCAUGGCUUCAGCCUGGAGAAGAGAAGUCUGCGGGGUGACCUCACUGCCACUUUCCAGUACCGAAAGGGUAGAUAAUGGCAGAACAAGGGGAAAUGAUUUUACGUUGAAGGAGGGAAGAUUUAGGUUGGGUGUCAGGGGUAAGUUCUUUACAGAGAGAGUGGUGAGGUGCUGGAACAGGCUGCCCAGAGAGGUUGUGGAUGCCCUGUCCCUGGAGGUGUUCAAGGCCAGGUUGGAUGGGGCCCUGGGCAGUCUGGUCUAGUAUUACAUAUGGAGGUUGGCAGCCCUGCCUGCGGGGGUGGUUGGAGCUUCAUGAUCCUUGAGGUCCCUUCCAACCCAAGCCAUUCUAUGAUUCUAUGAUUCUAUGACAGGCAGGGUUUCUCCUAGCUGCCCAUCUGUGAUAUAAAAUGAAAAAAUAAGCAGUGAAAGGAAAACAAUGAAAAAUGAAACAAGC